rnacentral:lncRNA from 1 species
UUUCUAUAUUCCCAUCCCUCUUCAUCUCCAUCCCUAUUAUUUUCCAUUCUCUCAUUUGACCAAUGAAAUCUCUAAUGUCCAAAGGCUAAUUGAUUCAUCAAUGACCUUGUGUCAGAUGAAUCAAUACAAGUAUGACUGAGAUAGGUCCAUCCCUUUUGAUUUUUUUAUUUUAGUGUGUGGUAUGUUUUAGGAGUUUGGUUCUUCAUACCGAAUCUCUAAUAGGAAUUAACACCUAUAUUGUUCGGUCUCAGAUAGUUGUGACUUCUACAUAAGU